GACGAACGUUGGCGGCGUGCUUAACACAUGCAAGUCGAACGGAAAGGCCCUGCUUUUGUGGGGUGCUCGAGUGGCGAACGGGUGAGUAACACGUGAGUAACCUGCCCUUGACUUUGGGAUAACUUCAGGAAACUGGGGCUAAUACCGGAUAGGAGCUCCUGCUGCAUGGUGGGGGUUGGAAAGUUUCGGCGGUUGGGGAUGGACUCGCGGCUUAUCAGCUUGUUGGUGGGGUAGUGGCUUACCAAGGCUUUGACGGGUAGCCGGCCUGAGAGGGUGACCGGCCACAUUGGGACUGAGAUACGGCCCGGACUCCUACGGGAGGCAGCAGUGGGGAAUAUUGCACAAUGGGCGGAAGCCUGAUGCAGCAACGCCGCGUGCGGGAUGACGGCCUUCGGGUUGUAAACCGCUUUCGCCUGUGACGAAGCGUGAGUGACGGUAAUGGGUAAAGAAGCACCGGCUAACUACGUG
rnacentral:rRNA from 1 species